CCAUCCUCCAACAUCUUGUGUUCCUCUAUUUGAAUUUUGUGCUGAGCCCAUUGGCCCCACUCGGGGAUUCGAGCUCUUGGAGGGCAGCUGUCUUGCCUGUCUUGUGCCCGGCAGUAACCCCUGUGCCCAUAAAGCAGUACCCGGAACAGGGAGAGCACUCAGUAAAGAAGAGUCUCCGUGAGUGACUUUAAACCUGAAAAUGGAACCAGAGAUGAAAAACUGAGGCAUAGAGGGAAGAAACAGCCUCAUCAAGGAGCCACAACCAGUCCUUGUCCCAGGCUGGGGUGGGAAGGUAUACAUGGAGAAUUGCAAACUGUUUCGUGCUGCUGGAAGUUGAAAACAGCAGAGCAUCAGGAGAUGAGACGGAACCCUCAGGUAGAAAAUCAUCUGAAAUAGCAACUUCAGGUGGCUACUACAAGGCUGUCCUCAAUUUUAAGAUUUUAUAAGAAAAGCCAGUGGGCUCCCAGACAAAGUUAAAAACAUGCUCCAUUUCAUCAUCCCAGGCUGUGGUGAGGGUCAUGAUGGUUGAACAGGGAAGUUCUGGGAGGCAUUACACAGAAAAUUGUUACAACACCACAUUUGAUGAGUGGAGGGGUGACAUGAUCAUACCCUUUUUCUGGGAAAGAGUCCCUCAUAUCUCCCUUGCAACUCAAGAAGACCAGAUGGGACACCAAGGCUCAGAGAGAUGAAGCCAGUUGACUCAGAUCCACUGUUAAUAAGCAGAAAAGGCAGAACUCACAACCGGGUCUUCUGCCUCUAAAUCCAACACUUAGAGAAGAA